rnacentral:rRNA from 1 species
AUUGAACGCUGGCGGAAUGCUUUACACAUGCAAGUCGGGCGGCAGCGCGGGGGCGAACCCUCGGCGGCGAGCGGCGAACGGGUGAGUAAUACAUCGGAACGUGUCCUUGAGUGGGGGAGUAGCUCGGCGAAAGCCGGAUUAAUACCGCAUAAGCUCUGAGGAGGAAAGACGGGGGACGUGGUAACGGCCUCGCGCUGUUGGAGCGGCCGAUGUCGGAUUAGCUAGUUGGUGGGGUAAAGG